rnacentral:rRNA from 1 species
UACGUAGGGUGCGAGCGUUGUCCGGAAUUACUGGGCGUAAAGAGCUCGUAGGUGGUUUGUCGCGUUGUUCGUGAAAACUCACAACUCAAUUGUGGGCGUGCGGGCGAUACGGGCAGACUGGAGUACUGCAGGGGAGACUGGAAUUCCUGGUGUAGCGGUGGAAUGCGCAGAUAUCAGGAGGAACACCGGUGGCGAAGGCGGGUCUCUGGGCAACAACUGACGCUGAGGAGCGAAAGCGUGGGGAGCAAACAGG